rnacentral:rRNA from 1 species
GACGAACGCUGGCGGCGUGCUUAACACAUGCAAGUCGAACGAUGAACCCGGAGCUUGCUCCGGUGGAUUAGUGGCGAACGGGUGAGUAACACGUGAGUAACCUGCCCUUGACUCUGGGAUAACUGCGGGAAACUGUAGCUAAUACCGGAUACGACCCUCGGCGGCAUCGCCAGGGGGUGGAAAGAAUUUCGGUCAAGGAUGGACUCGCGGCCUAUCAGCUAGUUGGUGAGGUAACGGCUCACCAAGGCGACGACGGGUAGCCGGCCUGAGAGGGUGACCGGCCACACUGGGACUGAGACACGGCCCAGACUCCUACGGGAGGCAGCAGUGGGGAAUAUUGCGCAAUGGGCGGAAGCCUGAUGCAGCAACGCCGCGUGAGGGAUGACGGCCUUCGGGUUGUAAACCUCUUUCAGCAUCGACGAAGCGAAAGUGACGGUAGGUGCAGAAGAAGGACCGGCCAACUACGUGCCAGCAGCCGCCGUAA